UGAGAUACAAGGGUUUGACUGCAACAAUGUGCACUAUUUUCUAGUUGUGAGUGGGAAUAAAAGGGAAGCCAGAAUAGGGAGUAAGAGAUGGACUUCUAAAAUAAAAAGAAGAAAAGAAAGAAAGUCACAUUGGAUUGAGCUUAAGUUCCUCAAUACUUUAGAGAGGAUGAUUUUCUUGGGUCUAGUUUAGUUUAGAACAACCUAAAGCGAAUGGAAAAGAUUAGUCUGUUAGCAUGAGAGAAGUCUUGAGGACAAGAGAGCAAGAUGAGAGAGCGAAGGAAUAUUACUGAUGUGAUAACCUAAAUAGGGAAGCCAAGCUUCUUUAUGACUUUAAUUUGGUGAUACUAGAAAUCACCAUAGACCAAGAAGGGAAGAGAAUGGUUAGGUUGAGGAAUAGUUCUCAAUGCUUUCCUGCUGCUGUUACUUUUCCCUUUGCCCUGCCAGCGCCUCAGUAUUCCUUGACAGUGCUUGGCGUUCGCCCCAUAUAAAUUCAAGACAACAUUCAAGUGUUAUUAGUGAAUAGACAUAAGGAGCACAGGACUAGAAUUUGGUAUACGAUUCUCUAUCAUAUUUGCAUAUUGACAUUUAGCAGAAAGAGCCUAUCCGUGUGACAAAAUCGUAUAAUUGUAAGAUGAAGUGAUGCGUGGAAAAUGAACUUUCUUUACUUCUAAUGCAAAUUUGAUUAAUAUUAACUUACAGAGUGUACAAAUGUAGGUCUCGCGUACACCUUCCGGGGUGGGGUAGGAGAAGCCGUAUGAUUACUCGGCAUUGUGGAAGUGCGGUUCUAUAGCCGUCAGUUAACAAUUAAUGCAACCCUACAAAUCAUUUCUAUCUAUACUUUUAUUACAUAAACCUUGUCUCAUAUGAUGGUAUGGACAUAGCUAUAUAUAUAUAUAGAGAGAGAGAGAGAGUUGAAAGACUCUAGAAUAAAGACUAAUUGUAUGUUUUGUGCAAAAAGAAAAACUGUUGCAUGAUCUUUUUCCUUUUUGUGUGUCCUAUCAUUUACUUGUCGUCCAUUUUGUGCUCAUGCAUUUUCUCGAUAAGCUAUUUUGUGCUCAUUCCUAAUCAUGCUGAAAUCGUUACUCAUGACCGCUAUCUUUUGUAACUGUUAUUAUGAAAUAUGACGGUGACUUAUUCGAACUUUUGAUUUGUCACAAGUGCAAGAGAUGGUCACUUAUUGGAUUACUUCAUUAUCCAAAAAAAGAACCACUGAAAAAUUGAAGUUUAAGGGCAUGUUGGGAUUUUUCUUUUUCUAACUUUUGACAUGAUGAUUAUUUGUGGUUUUCCUUGAUGUUAGAAAGUUAAGUCACUAUGUCUUUGUCUUCAGUUCUUGAAGAAUUUGUUAGUUACGUUGUUCCCUUUUUAGGACUUUCUUCAGAAACUUCUGGGAUCUCAAAAAGACCUUUUACUCAGAAUUUUGUGGUUCUUCGUCUUAAUCUAAAUAUAACUCCUUGAGGAGAUAGCUCUUCCUAUUUAACGUGGAUCAUUCAACAUGUCCAGCCGCCACCGUGUCUAUGUUGCACGACUUGAAUGUUGGAUACAUAUCAGAUUCGGUUAAUUCACCUAAGAUGUAUUGACUGUAACUGUGGCCGAGAACCAUAGGUUUGGCUUGGUUUGUGGUCCGAUUUUUCAGUUUACACACACACACACACAUCACAAGUCUAUUAGAUGUCAGUAGCCGUACUACAAUCCAUAUCAGUGAAUACAUGAAUUUAUGUGAUGAUGAAUCCAACUUAUCAAAAAAAAUCCGCACAUAGACCUCUUCUAGAUCUUAUAAACUCGAAGGUAUCUGCUCGCUCUUUCUCUCUCUCUCUUUUUGUUGUUCUGCUAGUUCAUGCUCGCAACCUAUAAUUAGUAACACAUUAAAUUUGUACGACAUGUCAGUCCAAAUACGUAAAUUAACUCACCCUUGCACCCUCGCUAUGAAUAUCUUUUCCUAAUUAUAAGUUAUAGCUCGGCUACCUCUUUGCUUAAUCAAGUCAUCCUAAUUACUAUGUGGAACUAGAGUUUCAAGUUGGUGAGAGUGCCACAUAUCAUAGUAUGGUGGGUGUAAACAGUCACCUGAUACAUGCAACAACAAAAAAUUGAUCCAUGGCAGAUUGUAUGGUGGAACGCCAGUGGACAACAGAGAUGGUAAUGGGGGAGACAGAUUUGGUCAUCUAGUUGAUUUACAUGCUUGGAACCCACAUUGUCUGAAUCUGGACGGGGUUACAUUUUGAUGAAUUAAAGAUAUGCAUGUAACUUGUACUAUAGAUGAAAAUAUCAGAUAGAAUUUCUAAUGGUCUAUCUGGUUGCUAUCAUGGUGGAAUUGUAAUAUCAGAUAGAUGGACAUCAUUAGGUUUCAGCUACUUUGAAGGAAGAGAAACCCUUAUAUUCAUCCAAGUCCAUGUUGUUCACUCAAAAGCGUUCUCUUCAGAAAGAGGAUUUUAACGCACAUAAGGCGUUUAGCAUUUUAA